UAUAUUUUUAUAUAUUAUGUUUUUAGUUUAUAUAAAUUAAAAAAAAUAAUUUUGUUUUUAGUAUUUUUAAGAAAAAAAUUUUUCUUUUUUUGUGUACUGUGAAGGGGUUAAUUGAUUUAUAUAAAAUUAUUUAUUUUUAAUGUACCUUUUGUAUCAGGGUUUAUUAAAUUUUAUAAUUUAUUUUUAUUUUCUCGAAAUUUUAAGAUUUAUAUUAAUAUGUUAAUAUAUGUGAUAAUAUAUUUAAUAAUAUUAAUAUAGGGAAUAUAUUUUAUUCAAUUGAAAAUAUCUAGUUUUUCAAUAAUUGGAUUUAAUCCAAAAGUAAAUAAAAGUAUACUUUUAUUUAUAUUUAUUUACAGUUAAAAAGGGAUAAGCUUUUUUAAGUUUCUAGAAAAAAUUCUAGUUUAAUAUUUAUUAUAGGAUUAAUAAUAUUCAUUUUUUAUUUUGUAAAAAUUAUUUUUAUUAUUUUUUUAAUUUUUGUUAUUUUUAGAUAGAUAUUGAAAUAAAGGACUUAAUUUUUAAGUUUUUGGAAAAAUGAUAAAAUUAGUAUAUUUUUAAAAUAAAUUAUAGUAAUUCAGCAAAUAUGGUUUUCACCUGUUUAACAAAAACAUGGUCUUUUGUUUAAAAUAAAAGAUUUAACCUGCCCAAUGAUUAUUUUAAUGGCUGCAGUAUUUUGACUGUACAAAGGUAGCAUAAUCAUUUGUCUUUUAAUUGGAGUCUGGUAUGAAUGGUUGGAUGAGAAAUUUACUUUCUUUGUUUUAUAAAUAAAAUUUAAUUUCUAAAUCAAAAAGUUUAGAUAUAUUUAAAGGACGAGAAGACCCUAUAGAACUUAACUCCCCUAAAUUAAUUAUUUACUUGUAAAUAAUUUUUAUUUAGUUUUUAGGGGAGUUUUAUUGGGGUGAUAGAAAAAAUUUUAUAACUUUUUUUAUUUUAUUCAUUUAUUUAUGAUUUUUUGAUCCUUUAUUAUGGAUAUAAAGAUUAAGUUACCUUAGGGAUAACAGCGUUAUUAUUUUGGAGAGUUCAUAUUAAUAAAAUAGUUUGCGACCUCGAUGUUGGAUUAAAAUUAGUGUCAGGGGUAUAAUAUUGAUUACUAGGUCUGUUCGACCUUUAAAUUUUUACAUGAUCUGAGUUCAGACCGGCGUGAGCCAGGUCGGUUUCUAUCCUUAAAUUUUUUAGAAAAGUUUAGUACGAAAGGACCAAUUUUUUGGAAUAUUUUUUAUAUUUUGAUUUAUAUU
rnacentral:rRNA from 1 species